GCAUUAUGAUGAUGAACCUAGAAUUAAACCGAAAAAUCGUGAAUGGAAGAAAACCUCCUACUCAUUCUGA
rfam:Beta vulgaris subsp. vulgaris Bvchr2.sca001.con0128.1, whole genome shotgun sequence.